AAAAAUAAUGCCCCCUGGUAAUGAUAAUAUUUCCUGCUCAGAUUGGUCUCACGAUAAUAGGUCUGCUCCAGUGGUGUUUGCAGAGUUAUGUACAGGACUCUGGUAUUACAUUACAGCUGCUGCCUGGUUAUACAUCCGUGUGAAUAGGAGGAAAUAAAUACACGUGAAGAAAUACCAGAAGGACCAAAAAAUGGGGCCCAACAUUGGCAAUUUCUUGUUUGGGUCUUGGGGUGGGUGAAGCAUUGGCACUUGGACCUGACCAACCAUGGAAGCAUCUCGUCUCGAUCUGAGAGGAGGGAAGAAAUGCAACCUCUGGAGCAUGCCCAGGCUCUGGGCCCUGGGAACUUGGCAGGCUGCUGGAGAGGUCAGAAAGAGCCUGGGGCAGAAAGCUUCACUCUGAGAUGGAAGUGAAUGUGGAUGAGGAAUUCUAGAUGAGAGAGCUCUGAAGUAGAGGUUGGCUUCUCAGACCAUGGAGAUUCAAGAAGUACAAAGCAGACUGGAGAGAUUCAGGGAACCUGAUGCACAUCUUGAGUCAAGCUAAUUGCUCUGCCCCCGGGGCAAUAAGAAAAGAGAACAUCCUAAAACUGAUGAAGACCUGGACUGAAGUAGGGCACAUAUGAGUUUCGGACAAAUAAAAGGAUGGAAGAUGGAGCCAGGAUAUUAUCUGACUGCAUGGGGUCGGUCUGUGAAGGGCAAAUCAGCCCAUGCCCCAGCAUCCUCCCAUUGCACAGAAAACCCAAGAUCUUUGAGGAGGGACACUGAGUGUUUGAGGAAGGAAAGAGAAAAAACAAACAAGCAAACAACAUUAGAUGGGAUAUUAUCCACUGACUGCUAUUUCAUUUCUCUGGAGAAAUGUACAAUGUGAUCAUUAAAUCCUCAAGGGAAAAACCUGAACAGUGUUUUCUUCCUUCCGGGCAAAAAUCUUGGGACUCUUAAAAAGAUGUUGUAUUUCACAGCUCAGCAACCAGCAACAUUUAAAGAACUGGAGAGGGA
ensembl:lncRNA